GAAAUAAAGUGACUAAUGCCUGAGUUAUCAGCCCCACCCAGUGAGUGCUGCAUAUAAAAACUGAAGUGCUGAACACCUGCUGUAUCCAGCACCAGAUUCCUGGUAAAACAGAUUUGAAGUUUAACUGGAGAAGACCAUCGUCAUGACUCCCAUUUUCCUCGUACUCCUCUUCUUCUCAUUGACAUCCAUUCCUCCAGGUGCGACUGAUGAUGGAGAUCAAACAG